GACGGAGGGUGCAAGCGUUGUUCGGAUUGACUGGGCGUAAAGGGCGUGUAGGCGGUUGGUCAAGUCUGAUGUGAAAGCCCGGGGCUCAGCCCCGGAAGGGCAUCGGAAACUAGCCAGCUGGAGCGCGAUAGAGGAGGGUGGAAUUCCUGGUGUAGCGGUGAAAUGCGUAGAUAUCAGGAGGAACACCAGCGGCGAAGGCGGCCCUCUGGAUCGUUGCUGACGCUGAGACGCGAAAGCGUGGGGAGCAAACAGG
rnacentral:rRNA from 1 species